UCUCUCUCUCUCUCUCUCUCUCUCGAUUCCCUCUCUCUCUCACCCCCGAUUCUUGCCUUCUCUGGAUCCGCAAAGCCCGCAAGGUGCAGACGGUCGUCGCCCUAUGCCUCCCGCGCCCCUCUCCCUGCCUCCUGCCUCUGUCGCCCGCCCGCGCCGCGCCCGCCCACGCUGCCAUGUGCACGCGACACACGGAUCCCGCCACUAAUCUCUCUCUCCGAUCUCUUCCCGAUCUGCGAGGGUCUUCUUCUUCUCCUCCCCCUCGCCAUCACGCGAUCGAUCGGAGGAGCUCGCAGGCCCUCGUGCCCUCUCCCUAGCGCUCGCGCUUUGUUCGACGAAAUGCCAAGGCGAUCGUAGGGCACUUUGCGAAAUGGCUCAUGCUUCAAGUAAGUUCUAUACAUUUUUACCAACAUUCGAGGAGCUCGCAGGCCCCCGCGCCCUCUCCCUAGCGCUCGCGCCCUGUUCGACGAAAUGUCAAGGCGAUCGCAGGGCGCUUCGCGAAAUGGCUCAUGUUUCAGGUAAGUUCUAUACAUUUUUACCAACAUUUACAAUGAGCAAUGCUAUAUUUGUAAUUUAUUUUGGAUUAUAGAUCUUACUAGUUGUUAUUUUAAUUUAAACUUUUAAAACCUGUAGUGAGGGAUUACAAUUCUUGAAUCUUCCUACAACCUAGACGACAGUAAAAUCAGAUUAUGCUAAAAUCAAAAAAAAAGUCAGACAAAAUUAGAAUGCCAAAAAUCUACAUUAAAGUUUGACAGCUCAUAGCAUAUCACAAAAGUGAUGUUUAGAUGAAACCAAAGCGAAAAAAGUAUCUCAAAGAAGUUGGCCACCGCACAACACACAACAACAUAUUUUUGUGACGCUUGACAAAAAAAUAGCGAGGAUAGGCAAGUAACUCCAAUACGAAAAUAUUGACAAGAUCUCAAUAAAAUAAGGGCGCCAUUUAAUUGUGAAAGUACAUGUCUGGAACUUAAUAUUUUGCUCAGCAUUUUCAGCAUAGAGGAGCCAAAGCAUGAAAAUAAUAGCUCAGUUCUUAAUUAUUUUAAUUAAUUUAUACACGUAGCUAAUGAGUAUCCAAGAUAUUUUGUGAAUGGCGCUAUAUAUUUAGGUUUUCUAAAACGUUGCCUUUCAGAGUUGUUAUUGUAGUGGAACACGGAUAUAGUGCAAAAAAAAAGGCUUCAAUAGAUGCAUAUAUGCACUGCAAAGUGCAAAAAGAUACUUGACACCAAUAAAAACCUAUAAUAUGGCCAACAUUUCAAGGGUUCAAAAGUAGCGGUGUAAUCAGUUCGGUUUGAUUCGAUUUUUAGGUAAAUUUCAAUUAGAACUGAUCAAAUAAUUUGGUUCGAAAAAAAAAUUGCAAUCGAACUGAAUAAGAAUUUGAACCUUCUAUUCCCCGAGUCUUUGUCUUCCCCGUUUUCCUCCCGUGCGAUGAUGACCUUCCCAAUGUCAGAUGGUUGCGAUAAUUGAGAAAGACCUGCACUUUCUUGAUUGGUAAUGAGAGCACUUUGGAUGGCUUUCUUCUUAAACAACCAGUUGUUCUCAUUUGUCCUAAGAAUGGUUUCGGCGUGCGCGUGGUUUCUAGCUCGGUUGGCACUACUAAUCAGGAAGGCUUUGCUGCCAAGCUAAUAAUGCUUCAUGACUAGAGGUGUCUGAGCAAAAUUUAUUUAUUUAUUUCAUACCUACUCAUGUUUGAUGCUCCUCUUCACUCUUCUCUUCUUUGCUGGGAGACAAAUGUGUAAGCUGAAUGGUUUUUAUGGUAGAUUAGAGACAAAUGUGUAAGCUUAAUUAUUUGCUGGAAAGUUUGUGAGAUAUUUUAUGAUCUGAAUUCUUUGAAGUUGAUUACUGGUGGCUUAGGAUUUGCUGCUGUGCAAGGACUUUAGAUGUUGCCUCAACAUUUUAUAUAGAUUCAUGAUGCGUGUUCAAAAUUCAGGACUCAACAUUCAGAAUUCAUAAUGUGAAUUCAUAUAAAAGGUUUUUUAUAAAAUGUUGCUUACUUAGAAGUCAGAAAUCCUUUUUUCUUUUGUUUACUCUUACUCUUAUGGGUAUUUCCUUUGUUGGGGUUUAUUUUCUCAACUGUUUCUCCAGUAUUUUCUAAAUUUUUUGGGCAUCUGAUAAAUUUCCGGUGCAAUUUUGUCGAGGGAAGAGUCUCAUUUGUUUGAUUGAUCCUUUGGUUAGUGUGAAUUAUGUGGGAGAGGCAAUGAUGAUUUUCUCUGAACAAAAUGGAAUUACUGUUGGAAAGGAAGUGAUCAUUCUGUAUUACCAAAUGAGAGGCAGAUGAUGAGGGGGGAUGCAAUAUGUGGUCUUAUUCUUCUUUCCUUCUCUUUUUGUACUCAAAUAUGCUAUUCCUGUCUUUGUUUGGAAUUAAAUGUGGUAGCUUUGGGUGGACUUGACUGCUUCGAUACAUUAUUGUUUUACUAAUUCUACUUGGUUUCCUUUAUUCCUUUCUGUUUCUUGCUAUUUUGUAUCUCUCCUUUGAGGUGAUGAUGAUUAGUAGAGGAAAACGUGGAAAAUGAUGGCUUUGAACAAGCGGAAGUUUGGACGGCCUAUUCAUAGGCAACCGCUAUGGCCUAUUCAUAAGCAACCGCUUCCUACUGUUCUUAUCCUUCGUCGUUGCACAUGUGUUCAUCCUACGGCAAUGAUGAUAGAUGAAAGAAAUCUCACUUCAAAUGUCCUCUUGGUUGGAAUCUCAUUGCGCUUGCUAUACUCUAUUUCUGCAAGCAUGAAAGCAUUAGUUUUCGCUCAGCUUACUGUCAAAACAACAUUAUUUGCUUUUGCUAUGUAUCUCAGAUAGAAAAAUAUAAUUUCUCAUAAAGUUUUUAUAGUCCUAAUUUGUUUUACUGUCUAACAUAAUUUGCUGUUGUCUUCAAUUAUAUGGUUUGGUUCGGA